rnacentral:rRNA from 1 species
CUGCCAGUAGUCAUAUGCUUGUCUCAAAGAUUAAGCCAUGCAUGUCUCAGUACAAGCCAAAUUAAGGUGAAACCGCGAAAGGCUCAUUAAAUCAGUUAUGGUUCCUUAGAUCGUACCCACAAUUACUUGGAUAACUGUGGUAAUUCUAGAGCUAAUACAUGCAAACAGAGCUCCGACCGGAGACGGAAGGAGUGCUUUUAUUAGAUCAAAACCAAUCGGUGGCGAGUUCGCUCGUCAUCGUACAACUUGGUGACUCUGAAUAACUUUACGCUGAUCGCACGGUCUCGCACCGGCGACGCAUCUUUCAAAUGUCUGCCUUAUCAACUGUCGAUGGUAGGUUCUGCGCCUACCAUGGUUGUAACGGGUAACGGGGAAUCAGGGUUCGAUUCCGGAGAGGGAGCCUGAGAAACGGCUACCACAUCCAAGGAAGGCAGCAGGCGCGCAAAUUACCCACUCCCGGCCCGGGGAGGUAGUGACGAAAAAUAACGAUACGGGACUCAUCCGAGGCCCCGUAAUCGGAAUGAGUACACUCUAAACCCUUUAACGAGGAUCAAUUGGAGGGCAAGUCUGGUGCCAGCAGCCGCGGUAAUUCCAGCUCCAAUAGC